rnacentral:rRNA from 1 species
CCUACGGGGGGCAGCAGUAGGGAAUCUUUCACAAUGGGCGAAAGCCUGAUGGAGCAACGCCGCGUGCAGGAUGAAGGCCUUCGGGUUGUAAACUGCUUUUAUAAGCGAGAAAUAUGAUGGUAACUUAUGAAUAAGGAUCGGCUAACUACGUGCCAGCAGCCGCGGUCAUACGUAGGAUCCGAGCAUUAUCCGGAGUGACUGGGUGUAAAGAGUUGCGUAGGUGGCAUAAUAAGUAGCUAGUGAAAUCUGGUGGCUCAACAAUUAAGACUAUUAGCUAAACUGUUAAGCUCGAGACCGUUAGGGGUAACUGGAAUGUCUAGUGUAGGAGUGAAAUCCGUAGAUAUUAGAAGGAACACCGAUAGCGUAGGCAGGUUGCUGGGACGGUUCUGACACUAAGGCACGAAAGCGUAGGGAGCAAACGGGAUUAGAUACCCUGGUAGUC